rnacentral:rRNA from 1 species
GACGAACGCUGGCGGCGUGCUUAACACAUGCAAGUCGAACGGUAAGGCCCUUCGGGGUACACGAGUGGCGAACGGGUGAGUAACACGUGGGUGAUCUGCCCUGCACUUCGGGAUAAGCCUGGGAAACUGGGUCUAAUACCGGAUAGGACCACUGCCUGCAUGGGUGGUGGUGGAAAGCUUUUGCGGUGUGGGAUGGGCCCGCGGCCUAUCAGCUUGUUGGUGGGGUGAUGGCCUACCAAGGCGACGACGGGUAGCCGGCCUGAGAGGGUGACCGGCCACACUGGGACUGAGAGGCGGCCCGGACCCCUAGGGGAGGCAGCAGUGGGGAAUAUUGCACAAUGGGCGCAAGCCUGAUGCAGCGACGCCGCGUGAGGGAUGACGGCCUUCGGGUUGUAAACCUCUUUCAGCACCGACGAAGCGCAAGUGACGGUAGGUGCAGAAGAAGGACCGGCCAACUACGUGCCAGCCGCCGCCGUAA